GCAACUCGACUCCAUGAAGUCGGAAUCGCUAGUAAUCGCAAAUCAGAAUGUUGCGGUGAAUACGUUCCCGGGCCUUGUACACACCGCCCGUCACACCAUGGGAGUGGGUUGCACCAGAAGUAGAUAGCUUAACCUUCGGGAGGGCGUUUACCACGGUGUGAUUCAUGACUGGGGUGAAGUCGUAACAAGGUAACCCUAGGGGAACCUGGGGUUGGAUCACCUCCUUACCUUAAUGA
rnacentral:rRNA from 1 species